GUGUCCUACGGGACGCAGCAGUGGGGGAUAUUGCACAAUGGGGGAAACCCUGAUGCAGCAACGCCGCGUGAAGGAAGAAGGGUUUCGGCUCGUAAACUUCUAUUAACAGGGACGAAAGAAAUGACGGUACCUGAAUAAGAAGCCCCGGCUAACUACGUGCCAGCAGCCGCGGUAAUACGUAGGGGGCAAGCGUUAUCCGGAUUUACUGGGUGUAAAGGGAGCGUAGACGGCAGGGCAAGUCUGGAGUGAAAGGCAGGGGCCCAACCCCUGGACUGCUCUGGAAACUGUCCGGCUGG
rnacentral:rRNA from 1 species